rfam:Dendroctonus ponderosae Seq01033553, whole genome shotgun sequence.
UUAGUCAUUUUGAUGAAGAAUUUAUUACCGCCCCAGUCUGAAAACUGUGAGUGACUGGUACCGACUGAUACUAA